UACGAAGGGGGCUAGCGUUGCUCGGAAUUACUGGGCGUAAAGGGAGCGUAGGCGGAUAUUUAAGUCGGGGGUGAAAGCCCGGGGCUCAACCUCGGAAUUGCCUUCGAUACUGGGUAUCUAGAGUAUGGGAGAGGUGUGUGGAACUCCGAGUGUAGAGGUGAAAUUCGUAGAUAUUCGGAAGAACACCAGUGGCGAAGGCGACACACUGGCCCAUUACUGACGCUGAGGCUCGAAAGCGUGGGGAGCAAACAGG
rnacentral:rRNA from 1 species